UGUAUGAGCUGUAGGCGAGAUUCUGAUUUUGUUUACACCCUUGUAGAUAAAAGGAUAUUUCUAUAAAGUAACUAACAUUUUUUGGGAUUUAUCUUGCAGCACUGAGUAUCAUGCACAUGAAUGUUUGACAGAGCAGAGGUGAGAAGUGGGAGUUUUUGUCCAUUGAGAAAGCUGGGCAGUUUGACAGAUCAGGAAAACAGGACCAAAACCAGACUUUAUAUGGAACUUAUACUUUUACUCUUUCCUCAUUUCUACGUUUUCCUCCUGAAAACAAAACUCCAUGAACCAAGAUGAUGGUAAAAAGGAGAAAAUGCUUGUGGCAAUAAAAAUGCGUGACACUACAUAAAAAUAAACAAGGUAUAUUUUAUAUCAAUUUAGAAUGUAAAUAAAAUCAUGAAACAUGAUUAAUUUUUUAGAAAGACACAAAUCUGUUCUUUUUUUCUAGUGACUAUGGACAAUGGGGGAAGUUAUGCAGAACUGGUGAACUGUGUUCUACUCCUGUUCCCAGUAGCCGUCAUUUUUCCAGCCUUGGCAGGCCAGACUGAAGAAGAGCACGUGAAAAGUGUACCAGGAGAGCACAGCAGCCUGCACAAGCCUAUGGGAGGGGGGAAAAAGUUACAGAGGGAGGAAAAUUACAGAAAAAUGUGGACCCCAAGAGAGUACCUCUGAACAAACUGCGGCAAAUAAAGGCAAGUCAAAGAAAACCA
rnacentral:lncRNA from 1 species